rnacentral:antisense_RNA from 1 species
CUUCAGCGAGCCCAGGUGCAGCGGCUGCGCCGGGUCGCGGUCGGCGCCGUAGGUCGCGAUGAGCGCCUGCGCCUC